rnacentral:misc_RNA from 1 species
UUCAACUCUUUCGUAGUCGUUUUUAUUUCCUCUUCUUAUACCUCCAUUUUUAUAAAUUACAAAGAAUCAAGUAAAAAAGUCUACUGUGCGUUACAAGUAUCGUAAAAAACCGUUUCUUUGCUCGGGGAUAGAGGUCGAGUGGUCUAACACCGGGCUAAUGAUUUUUCUAAUUCUACGUGACAGCGUCGCGCGAAUCCAAAAGUAAGGAGUUAACAGGAAGAGACGUAUAAAAAUAAUUUAUUCGCACCUCGCGGAGCGUGGGCUUCGCUCCGUCGCGCGGCUCGGUCAACCUGAACGCGUGAAACUGAACGCAGAGUUGUUCGCGGUAGGAUCAUCCGUACCAUCUCUUCGACAACGUCGAUGAUCCAGCGAUCCACGUGAGACUACGGAAACGUCCUUCGCCAGGAAGGAGGUAGUCUGUUCGGGAGAAAAGGGACCGAGUAUAGAGGAGAGAGAGAAAGGCCUAGAG